rfam:Myotis brandtii contig213806, whole genome shotgun sequence.
AGACCCAGAGAGAGAGGCAGGAUCUGAUCCACUGCCUCAAUGGCAGCUGUUGAUCAGUACUUGCCUCUCUCUUUCUCUCGC